AUUGAACGCUGGCGGAAUGCUUUACACAUGCAAGUCGAGCGGCAGCGCGGGGCAACCUGGCGGCGAGCGGCGAACGGGUGAGUAAUGCAUCGGAACGUACCCAGUCGUGGGGGAUAACUGUCCGAAAGGACAGCUAAUACCGCAUACGUCCUGAGGGAGAAAGCGGGGGAUCGCAAGACCUCGCGCGAUUGGAGCGGCCGAUGCCGGAUUAGCUAGUUGGUAGGGUAAAGGCCUACCAAGGCGACGAUCCGUAGCUGGUCUGAGAGGACGACCAGCCACACUGGAACUGAGACACGGUCCAGACUCCUACGGGAGGCAGCAGUGGGGAAUUUUGGACAAUGGGGGCAACCCUGAUCCAGCC
rnacentral:rRNA from 1 species